GUCCCUCAGACCCCCCGGCCCGGCCGCGUCCGCCCCUCGGCGGGUGGGUUGGAGCCGCGCGGCCAAGGGAGCGCCCCGUGCUCGGAGUUCGGUCAGACCCGCUGGUGGGACGCGGGGCUCGCUCCCGGGCUCGGCGUUUUGGUGACACGGAGAAAACAGCGGUUCAAAGAGGUUUUGAGAUGCCGUUCCCUGCUAGAACUGGAGUUGUAGAGCCUUGUACUUGCACGGUUAAUCGGUCCCUUUCAGGGAAUCUACGUAGUGGUGAAGCUAUUUUGAUGUCAGGAAGACAAUCCCUGAUCACCCAUGGGACUCUCAACUAUGGCAGCAAAGAAGCUGCACUCUCUCCUUGAUGCAGCUGCAAUAUACUGUCAGCACACCCUGCAAAGGCAGAAGUCAGAACAAGUAAAGGACCACGGAUCAGCCAGAGACCAUCUCAACUAUAUGUGGAAAGGAUGAUACCCCUGGUGACAAGAACAUCAUCUGCUAAAGGAUGCAACGCAAGAGCACUCAAAAAUGAAAGAUUAGAGAACUUGGAGCAGCAGCUGACCUAACAAAACUAAAGACAAGUUCUGGAUGGUUCCCUAUGCACAUAACAAGAAAUGCCUAGCAGGUCACUGAAAAGGAAGGAUGAAUAAACUGGUAUGUGUGAAAUGCUGACAAAUGGCACACAGAAUGCACCCUCCUGGCAGAAACUAAAGCUACACUAUUAAAAAAAAAAGCAGUGCAUUUAUUAUAACCAUUCAGAGAGGGGGAAGUUAGAGCUAUCCUUUCCCUUAAUAAAGUUUUAAUUUCAUGCGGCUAUUUGAUGGUGUCAGUGUGGCAAGCUUUUCUUUCCUUUCAGUCUAUGUAGCUUGAUGGAAUUGUGGGGACACAGAAAUACAAAUGUCAAAUUCUUCAGAGCUGUUGUUCAGUGAACAGAAGUCCAAAAAUAGGAUAAGAUGCCAGGAAAAGUAUUAAAAAUGGAUUUUUCUGGGUUAUCUAGCUCAUAUUGAAUUUUUGAUCAGAUGCUAAUAUAUCUCUUACCAUCACAAUCAUAUAUAUUUACAACUCGGUAAGCAAAUGUAUGAUUCAGUGUUACAUUUAAGAUUAUAAAAGCAGAUCUGUCUAGAAAUCUAAUCUGAGGUGCUCUUCUCUGGUCUCAAAACACAGAGCAAGAUUACACUGGA